CCUCGCUGGAAUGUGCGCAGCGCUGCCCUGGCUUGUCCCGCCUUCUGCUGCACUUUCCUUCCAGGGCUAAUUUUCCCUCAAAAGGAUUUGCUCUGGAAAAAAAGACAACUACCAUACUGAACAUGGAGUUGGGAAGCAGAGCCUCCAACCUGGUCAUCUUCCGGUGUGUGGCCUUGGACAUUUUGACUCAAUGUCAUGAGGAUCCCUGAGCUAGAACCCCCAGCUACACUUUUCUUGGAUUCCUGAGCCACAAAACUGGCUUGAUGAAAGUUACAGUCAAAUUUCCAAAGGAAGAUAAGAGGCUCUUUGGAAGCAUAAAACAAAGGAAAACUCAAAUUAAAUGAAGAUUUUUUUGCCAUUCAAAGGAGGAGUCGGCCAGCCAAUUCAAGUUAGGCCAAGAAUGGAUAUUCCAGUCUGCUGGUAAAUAGAAAGCUUCCACUUCACCAGCCUGUUUCUCUCUUCUUAGCCUCUUAACUCUUGCACAAGGAAACACCCAACGCCAGCCUCCACUUCAGUGGCGAGCCGGCACGGAGGAACUUGGAAGGCAGCCAAGUCAUGGCUCAGUGAGGAACAGGCAAGCCGGGUGCUGCAGAAGCACCGCCAGGGCGGCAGUGGCCUCCCCUCACAAGCAGAGCUCUCCACCUUUAUAUCCAGACUCUCCCACUCCAUUCGCGCAGUGUCCCAGGUCGGUUUUAAACCCAAGCUAACCCAGAAUACCACCAUCAUUCACUCAUUCACUCACUUAAGGUGUAUUGAUUAAAUUAAGAUCAGGUUUAUGAAUAAUCACACUGUUUUGUCAUUACCAAUUUUAUGGGUU